UUGCCCUUCAGGAGUUGAUUCAGAGGUACCAUGUUAAAGAUGUAUUAGACAUAGUGACACAUCAUUGAUUGCAUUCAGCUCAGUAACCACAUGCUCCAAACACAAGGGAAAGAGAUCUAGCAUAUGGUGCUGGCUUUCCGUCUUUGGAGUAGCUUGAAAUAGCAACCUUCUGUGGGACUCUAGUGUUGCAAUUUUGUAUUGAGAAAAGAAGGCCAACCAAACUGUUUCUCGAGUGCCCAUAGCUGUCUUCAGAAGGCUUUCUACUGAAGCAAAGUUGGUUUGGGGCCAUGGAGUGAGAAAGUGGUCAUUUUCUUCCUCAUCAAUCCAGAAGAGUGUUAUAAAACACCCUGUACCUAAUAGAAAAAGUUGAAAAGGAGCAGGAUCAAAAGGAUCUCAAUCCUUGCAAGGAAGAACCAGAUGCCAUGUUUAUCGAAUGAGAAAGAAACAAGCAUACCUUGGAGGACUGAGGCAGUUUCUCUGUGGUGAAUUGUGUUCCGAGUUCAAGCCAUGUCUCCCUUUUCUCCUGUAGCUGAAUGAUCUUUGCUAGUGAGUUGGUUCCUAAAACCUUCCAAGGCACUUCUGUGGUUCAGCCACUAAUGACAAGGAGAUGGGCAAGAAAGGGAGUUGGUUUUCUGCUAUCAAAAGAGCCUUCACUUCAAGCUCCAAGGAUAAAUUUGUUGACUCAAAAAUUCCAA